GUUCAUUAUCAUCUGCAUCAUUUCAGUGGCUUUCUACUGAUAUGCCAACCAGAGAAAGAAAUCAUGGAAAACAACAAAAUAAUCAAAAAGUUAGUGGUACAGUCAAAAACGGCGGAUCAUUUGCCUCGGAAGACACUCAGAGUGUAACAUUAAAAAUGAUUUACGUUUUCAUGGUUCAUUAUCAUCUGCAUCAUUUCAGUGGCUUUCUACUGAUAUGCCAACCAGAGAAAGAAAUCAUGGAAAACAACAAAAUAAUCAAAAAGUUAGUGGUACAGUCAAAAAGGGCGGAUCAUUUGCCUCGGAAGACGAGAGAAGCUAUUCAGAACCAUGCAUUCCAGAUAUAUGUGAAAAUGAUUGGAGAUAUCUCGCAGUUACUGCUUUUCUUGUUCAAACUGCAGGCACCA
rnacentral:lncRNA from 1 species